GGAGGGGGGGGGGGAGGGGCUGGAGGGGAAGGGGAGGGACAAGGUGGGGGGGCAGGUCCCUGGGGCAGGGAGUGGGUGGUCCUGGAGGCUGGACCGGGUCCUCGAGGGGCACAGUCUGGAAGGCGCGUCAUGCCUGGGUUCCUGCGGGGACAGAGUCCUGGUGUCAGAGGGCGAGGCUGGGGAUGGAUGUUUGUGUUUUGAAAAACUCAGAUUUGGCACUGGGGAUUCGGAGGAGCAGGCUGGGGCUUCAAGGGCUUGGGGUCAAGUUGCUGGUAGAGUUGGGACCUGACAGUGCCUCUGGGCCACUGGCAGGGAAGCUGGGAAGUGGGACUUCCAGUUUCCCAAAGGCUUUGUAUAGCAAUACUCCAAGUCCCUCCAGACUUGGAGCUGAAAGGAAGAGGAAACUGAAGCUUGAGACCUGGACUCCUGGGAAAGAAAAACCAGGGAUCCAAACUCGUGGUUCUGCCACACUAUGGGGACUCAGGGUCUUGGGUUCUGGGAGGAAGAAGAAGACAGAGCCAGAAGUCUAGGGUCCCUUGGGCCAGCAAAGGGGCAGAUCAGAGGGGAGCCAACCUGAGACGGGAAGGAACGAGAGGUGAAUGGGGGUCUGGCUGGGGGGCCCCGGCAGAGGGCUCUGCAAGGACAGCAUGCUGGCAGCUGCCAGUCCCACACAGGGGGUGCCGCAGCCCUGAAGACCCCCCCUCUCCCCUGCACAGUCACCCAGAGCCGGAGCCAGGGCCAGAGCCAGCAGGAAAGUGGGUCCUCUGUAAUUACGACUUCCAGGCCCGCAACAGCAGCGAACUCGUCCAUCAAGCAGCGAGCAGUGCUGGAGGUCCUGGAUGACAGGCGCAAGUGGUGGAAGGUUCGACCAACAGGGCCGGGAGGGUUAUGCAGCACCUAUAAUAUCCUGACACCCCAUCCCGGACCCCGAGCGGACCACAGCCAGAGGCCCUGCGCCGAAGCCCGGUGAGCCAGGCAGACUGGGAUCCUGAGGGAGAGGUGGGGGCCAGAUCCUGGAUUCUGAGAAUGAAGGGCAUGGGGACCCAGUGUCAAGAGUUCUGACUGGGGGCCCAGAAGUUCAGAGGGAGGGCCAGGGGAUUUGGCUCAGUGGGACCGAGUCUGCCUUGCAAGCACAAGGUCCUGAGUUCAAUCCCUGGUACCAAAAACAAAAGUUCAGAGGGAGCAGCGGGACUCAGAAGUCCUCCCUGACCUAGGGGAGCCUCUUUCGCCCCCAGGAGAACAGCACGCCUCCUCCUACCCCCCAGCUCCAGCCUGGGCCCCAGCUCCCGCCCAGCCCCACUGGGACAGCUGCGACAGCCUCAGCAACUUGGAGCCUAGCGAGAAGGAGAAAUUCUCCCAGAUGCUGAGUGUGAACGAGGAGCUGCAGGCGCGCCUGGCCCAGGGCCGCUCGGUUCCCAGCCGCGUAGCCCCGGGACCCCGCGCACCGGAGCCGCAGCUCAGCCGGAGCUCCGACGCCGCGGAGGUCCGCGCCUGGCUACAGGCCAAGGGGUUUAGCGUUGGGUGAGUGGGAUCGCAGGCGCAUGCGCGGAGAGGCCAGGCGCUGGGAGCGGAGGUUCCGAAUGGCUCGGAGUGGGGCGUGGAGCCCACGGGGAGCAGUGAUUGGCCCAAAUUUAUAGUCUGGGUGUACCGCUAGUAGAUUUCCCAGAUUCCGAUUGGCGCCCCCAGGAAAAUCCCGCCCCAUCUCGGAAGAGGGGCGCUUUCGCCCCAGGACCGCGGGCUGUGAUUGAGAGGUGGGGACGCUGCUCUGAUUGGACAAGCGGCUAAGCAGUCCUGACGUGUUUGGCGAGGCUGGAGGGGGCUUGAGCUAUGAUUGGGCCACAGGCCUGACCGCCCGCCCCGGCCCGGUGCAGGACUGUGUGGGACGCGCUGGGCGUGCUGACAGGUGCGCAGCUCUUCUCGCUGCGGAAGGAGGAGCUGCGGGCGGUGAGCCCGGAGGAAGGCGCGCGCGGCACAGCCAGCUCACGGUGCAGCGUGCGCUGCUAGAGGACAAAGAGAAAGUGUCCGAGCUGGAGGCGGUGAUGGAGAAGCAGAAGAAGAAGGUGGAAGGCGAGAUGAAAGCGGAGGUCAUCUGACCCUCGCCGGCCCCUUCGCCGACGUGACCGUGACGGGGCGCCUGCCCCGCGGGACCGCGUGGACUCCAGUCCCGGAGGACCGCCGAGCUGGCCCGGGCCCGCGCAGACGCACGGCCCCGCUGGAGUCCUGCCUCCCUGCCUGCCGAGCGCUCAAGGGGCCCUCCCUGGGAGCGGGCACCCCGCAACCCUGUGCCUCGUGACGUAUACCCUAGCCUAUAAACAGCCUCCUUUCAGUUACCGAGUCUACGCUGUCCUCUCUCUGCUUGGCUACCAGGGAGCCAGGGAAGCUGCCUCUGGCCCCCUUCUGAGAUUUCCCUCCCAGGGCCCUCCCCUGCAUCCCGGGGAUCCCGCUCUGUCUUCCAGCUCGCCCGUCUUCUGAACACCUGUCCCUCGCUCAGAAUUCCUCUGUGGCUCCCCCAGUGCCCUCGAGUAUAUAUUUCCCUCCUCCCUCUCGGGCAUCAUCUUUCACCACCCCACCUCAUUCCCCACGCACGCUGAUCCUGCCCUUCUCUCUCCCAGGCCCCUUCAAGCACAGGCGUCUUUCAUUUGAUUUUCUGCUGGUCACAACAGCCUUUCUCUGGCGAACUCAUUCAUCCUUCUUGGCCCAGCUCGAAUGCCCACUCUAGGGAAGCCUGCCCUGCACCCCCUGGCUAGUCUCCCAGUAUCCGUGUCUCUGCCAGGGGUCCAGCCUUGGGGAGUUGGCUGCCUCCGGAGCGUGCCAUGCUGUCCUUGGGAGCCUGC
rnacentral:lncRNA from 1 species